rnacentral:rRNA from 1 species
UGGAUCGUAGCGAUGUUUCGCUAUCCCCGCCUUCGAUUUAGGUGAGGGGGGGUCUGGGGCCCUCCAUUCCCUGAGGGGCGAUUCGAUUAGCUAGUUGGGGAAGUAAAGGCUCACAAGCCGACGAUCCAGUAGCUGUUUUGAGAGGACGCCCCGCCCACACUGGAACUGAGACACGGUCCAGACUCCUACGGGAGGCAGCAGUGGGGAAUUUUGGACAAUGGGGCAACCCUGAUCCAGCAAUGCCGCGUGAGUGAAGAAGGCCUUCGGGUGUAAAGCUCUUUGUCAGGGAAGAAACGGGUGGAGCUAAUAUCUCCAUCUAAUGACGGUACCUGAAGAAUAAGCACCGGCUAACUACGUGCCAGCAGCCGCGGUAAUACGUAGGGUGCAAGCGUUAAUCGGAAUUACUGGGCGUAAAGCGUGCGCAGGCGGUUUUGUAAGUCUGUUGUGAAAUCCCCGGGCUUAACCUGGGAAUGGCAAUGGAGACUGCAAGGCUAGAGUUUGGCAGAGGGGGGUAGAAUUCCACGUGUAGCAGUGAAAUGCGUAGAGAUGUGGAGGAACACCGAUGGCGAAGGCAGCCCCCUGGGUCAAGACUGACGCUCAUGCACGAAAGCGUGGGGAGCAAACAGGAUUAGAUACCCUGGUAGUCCACGCCCUAAACGAUGUCUACUAGUUGUCGGGUUUUAAUUAACUUGGUAACGCAGCUAACGCGUGAAGUAGACCGCCUGGGGAGUACGGUCGCAAGAUUAAAACUCAAAGGAAUUGACGGGGACCCGCACAAGCGGUGGAUGAUGUGGAUUAAUUCGAUGCAACGCGAAAAACCUUACCUACCCUUGACAUGGCAGGAAUCCCUGAGAGAUCGGGGAGUGCUCGAAAGAGAACCUGCACACAGGUGCUGCAUGGCUGUCGUCAGCUCGUGUCGUGAGAUGUUGGGUUAAGUCCCGCAACGAGCGCAACCCUUGUCAUUAGUUGCUACGAAAGGGCACUCUAAUGAGACUGCCGGUGACAAACCGGAGGAAGGUGGGGAUGACGUCAAGUCCUCAUGGCCCUUAUGGGUAGGGCUUCACACGUCAUACAAUGGUACAUACAGAGGGCCGCCAACCCGCGAGGGGGAGCUAAUCCCAGAAAGUGUAUCGUAGUCCGGAUUGUAGUCUGCAACUCGACUGCAUGAAGUUGGAAUCGCUAGUAAUCGCGGAUCAGCAUCGACGAAACCGGCUCA